UACGUAGGGGGGCAAGCGUUUGUCCGGAAUCAUUGGGCGUAAAGAGCGUGUAGGCGGCUCGAUAAGUCUGCUGUGAAAGUCCAGGGCUCAACCCUGGAAGGCCGGUGGAAACUGUCGGGCUAGAGUCCGGAAGAGGCGAGUGGAAUUCCCGGUGUAGCGGUGAAAUGCGCAGAUAUCGGGAGGAACACCAAUGGCGAAGGCAGCUCGCUGGGACGGUACUGACGCUGAGACGCGAAAGCGUGGGGAGCAAACAGG
rnacentral:rRNA from 1 species